CGGCGAUUUCGUCCGUGUGUACGUGCAGCCUCUCAAGCACUUGCAUGUGCGCACUCAAAGAGGUGUUGUGCCAUCUGCUUGCCGCUCGAAAAGAGGACGACAACGUCUUGUUUGUUUGGUUUCUUUUCCUUCGGCUACCCGCAUUUCAUCGAAAGUCAUCUAUGGCACUUUCAACCAGCGGAUCUGCCGCGUUGGGGAAUAGGAUUGCACGGGCGACAGCGGCGGCACCGCAGUGGACAGUACAGCAGCGGUGCUUCCGACAGCUAAUGAAGUCGCUUCGAGGUGCCUACUUCCACGACCGCUCGAAACUAUUUUGGGCACGGCAUCGCGUCCUCGUGGAGUUCUACAAGUACUCCCGCGUGGAAGAGGAGAAAGACGUGCUGCUGCUCGUCGGCAUCGGCAACGAAAUCGCGACCUUCGUGGCCGAGUACAUGAAAGUAGACGUUGGCGCCAUCAUGGAGCAUAACGAAAAGAUCCAGUCGCUUCCGGUGGCCAAGGCAAAAAAGUACCGUGAGGAGUAUUUGCUACAUGAGAAGCAGCAUGAGUCGUGGUGUAAGCAGAAGAUUCGACUCAUGAUGGACCGCCGGCCGCCACCACCGUAUCCGUUCUCUUAAGUGGCGCACUUGUGGGGGUGGGGAACGGGGGGGGGGGCAAAAGAGGAGAAGAGGGGGUAAGAGUGCGUCUCCUGACGUUUGCUGGCGCACGUGCGGACGAGAGGUGGCAGGGAAGGAGGCGUUUGAGGUGCGCUGAGCCAACAGCCGUAGGUGGCUCGGCUGUCGGCUGGCUCUCUCUCUCAUUCUCUUUUCCUGCCUUCCAUAGAGCGUCCAUCCGAGCCCUCUUUGUGCAUCAUUUCCCCACUUGCCCCCCCCCUUCACACACACACACACAGCAACCUCACAGUCUCUCCUUACGUGUUCACACAAAUACAUGAAGAAGAAGCGGUUCGGAAAAAAAAAAACAGAAAAAACCGGGAGCAAAAGAGCCGCGUCACGUAUGUCUUCGGGGCAGAGACUCUGCCGCGUGAUGGCGCGUCUACUCGGUUUAUGUUCCGUGUGUCGCGGAGAAGGUUGUAGUUCUUCCGGACAAGGGCCUCCCGUUCUGUAGAAGACCGCGGCAACUCUAUUGAUUCUGAACGUCAGGGGUGUUGGCGUCGUUGCUCUGCCAAAAUGACCUCUCUCUUUCACUUUGUUUUCCCCUCGUUGAUUGUCGUGCUCGCCCACUGCCGGCAUUCGCCGCAUGGGCCCACUACAUCAUCGCUUUUGCCCGUGUGUAACCGGUGGGAGGGAGGGGGGCACUCUCUUGAAG
rnacentral:misc_RNA from 1 species